rnacentral:rRNA from 1 species
AUUGAACGCUGGCGGCAGGCCUAACACAUGCAAGUCGAGCGGAGAGGCGGAAGGGUGAGUAAUGCCUAGGAAUCUGCAUGGUAGUGGGGGAUAACGUACGGAAACGGGCGCUAAUACCGCAUACUAUCAGAUGAGCCUAGGUCGGAUUAGCUAGUUGGUGGGGUAAAGGCUUACCAAGGGGACGAUCCGUAACUUGUUUGAGAGGAUGAUAAGUCACACUGGAACUGAGACACGGGCCAGCCGCUUACGUGAGGCAGCAGUGGGGAAUCUUGGACAAUGGGCGAAAGCCUGAUCCAGCCAUGCCGCGUGUGUGAAGAAGGUCUUCGGAUUGUAAAGCACUUUUAGUUGGGAGGCGUUACCAACAGAAUAAGCACCGGCUAACUUCGUGCCAGCAGCCGCGGUAAUAC